CACCGUGUGAUUAAUAGAAUUAUUUACUUAUUUACUAUGAUGAAAUGCACUGCAAUAUGUUUGCAAGACGGACCAGAUCCAAAACCCACUGAAGACGCCCAUGAGCCCUGAGGAAUCACAUUGCCUUGCAGCCACUGUACAGCCAUGAAAACCAGCUGAAAACAAAACCGAGCCUCUUCGGAGAAAGCCCCACAAGUGACCUCUUCAGCAAAGUGGACAAAGAUUUACAUUGGCUUCUCUUCUCCCCGGCUAUCACUUACACUACAUGCACACUGUUGUUCCUCCUGCCUGUGCCAUUGUACUUCCCUUCUAACCUGUUUUCAACCUGCAAAGGCUUUUGCAAGGAAGUCAGCACACAGCAAUGGUGUGAGCUUACAGCACGUUGGCUGCUUUGUGCUAAUUUCCCAUUAGUGCACAUAGGCGGUAGUUUCGAAGAUAGGUGCAGUGCCUUGUAUGUCAGUGGGUGUUCUAAGGUCUGCAGCUGGGCAGAUGGAUCAGUACUGCCUGACAUAUCAGCUUAUAGUGCAAGGAGACCGUUACUUCAGAUGAAUUUGCUAUGGAACCGUAAAAAGCCUCUGUUAUGAAUAGUCUUCUACAGACAGGAUGAUGUAACAUCCAGUAUAAGGCACCAUAACUGUGUU
rnacentral:lncRNA from 1 species